rnacentral:lncRNA from 1 species
GCCAAGUAUCCCAAAUAGAGUCUGGCAUAGAGAAGUCAAUAGAUGCUUGUGGAAUUGAAUCAGCAUGGACAUGAAGGCUGAAAGGGCCUCAGCCCUGAGAAGGAAUCAGAUCUGCCCAACCACCCCCAGCCGGAGGGAGCUGCUGGAGCAGCAGGUAGAAGAACUGGUGCCUGCCUUGCUGCGCUUGGACAAUCCGUUCCUAUUUGAAUUCCUAAAUGUUUUGGAGGUAUAUGGCACCCCUGAAGAGGUGCUGGACCUGCUGUUUGCAAAGUGAGCACCCUGACUCCACAGCCCAGGGGGAUGGGCCACCUACUUGUUGGGAGUCUUGGGGAAUGUUCCUGCCUUCCCGGCCCCUGGGGCUGCUCCUCCGACUGGAGUAGAGUCACGCAGGGCCUAGUCGGGUCCCGCAGGGCAGCCCCCGGGCCUGGCCUGUGACAGGUCGGCUAGAGGGGCUGUGCUUGUGCUCAGCAGUCGUCGUUCUGUCCCCAUGACGAAGCCUGUGCCGCCUCCCCACCAUCACCAGGGUCUUGAGCUGGCCUGUUUUACCAUGGAAAGGGAGUUUUGAGUCCAUCUGGGGUCUGUAUCCUGGGGCAUUCGCAGUAGGGGUCCCCGGGGACACCGGGGCGCCCAGGCCCACUUGGAUAUCGGCCAUGGGCCUGGCCGGAGCCCUUUCAUUCCUCAAGCAUUCAGGAAGCGCCAGCAGGUGCAGGUGCUUCUCCAGGAGCUGCCCAUGACCCCACGCACAGAGCUGACGGCCCCCCAGGGCUCCGGACUAGUCAGAGGUCAGAGGGUGACAGCAGCUAUGAGGAGAGAUCGGGUCCACAGGAGGAUUCCUGUGAUGCCCCCGCCCUCCUCUGGAUAUCGAUGCAUUGUAGCUUCCUGCAAGAAGGAAGGAAUCCUGGACCAGUGGGAAAUCUCCAUCUCCUGCAUCCUGGACAUCUGGCUGGACUACUUUCGGGAGGAUUUCAUCAGCCACCGGAAUUUCUCUCCCUGAGGAAGCUGCUGGCAUUCAUGGGGCUCAACACGCCAGGCUCAGACCUGGAAAACCGGGCCCAACGUUACCUGGAGCUCGUGGAAUUAGACGAUGAGGAUGAGGAGGACUGGGGUGGCCGAGCUGGGGACAGGAUGGGCCACACAGACCCAGCCUCCAUGCAGCUGGGCCGGGAGCACAGGGUAGGCUCACACCCCAUCCCCAUGGGCUGCAGUUUGGGGAGACCUCCCAGGGCUCUUGCACUCACACACCUUGAAUGGUGGGAAGAGUGUCCUUGAUUUGAGAGGGAC